rfam:Felis catus isolate Cinnamon breed Abyssinian chromosome F1, whole genome shotgun sequence.
GCCUGGGUGGCUCAGUCGGUUGAGCGUCUGACUUCGGCUCAGGUCAUGAUCUCAUAGCUCAUGAGUUCGAGCCCCACGUCAGGCU